GGGCGUUUAGCUCAGUUGGUUAGAGCACUUGCCUUACAAGCAAGGGGUCAUAGGUUCGAGUCCUAUAACGCCCACCA
rnacentral:tRNA from 1 species